AUGGACAAGGAAAAGGAGGUAAAGGAAAAGGAAGAUUACAUGGACCAGCUAUCUAACCAAAGCGAAAUAGUAUCCUGGAAACGAUUUUUGGUCCUAUGGAUGAGCAGGGACAUUUUUUUCCUAAACGCCUUGACACAACUAAAUCUGAAUCAUGGUAUUAUUGGACCUAAUUUACAUAUACACGUCUUGUGUCAAAAAGAUUGCACACAUAGAUGUGGAACUCCCGAUGGAAUCUGCACCAUGCAUUACCCGUUUGACCAUGCACCACAUGCCAUCAUAAAAUAA
rnacentral:lncRNA from 1 species